rnacentral:rRNA from 1 species
UACAGAGGGGGCGAGCGUUGUUCGGAAUUACUGGGCGUAAAGGGCGCGUAGGCGGCCCGCUAAGUCGAACGUGAAAUCCCCAGGCUCAACCUGGGAACUGCGUCCGAUACUGGCAGGCUUGAAUCCGGGAGAGGGAUGUGGAAUUCCAGGUGUAGCGGUGAAAUGCGUAGAUAUCAGGAGGAACCCCUGUGGUGUAGACGGCUUACUGGACUAUAACUGACGCUGAGGAACGAAAGCGUGGGUAGCAAACAGG